GGGUCAGUAGGUUGGUCGUGCCACCGGUACGUACUGGUCUCACUGAUUCCUCCUUCCUGAAGAACCGUAAUGCCAUUAAUUUGGUGUUGCGGGGAAACAGGACUGUUACUCUGAAAAAAUUAGAGUGCUUAAAGCAAGCUAACGCUUGAAUACAUUAGCAUGGAAUAAUGAAAUAGGACGAUCGAUCCUAUUUUGUUGGUUUCUAGGAUUGACGUA
rnacentral:rRNA from 1 species